GGUGGCUCAGUGGUAGAGUGCUUGCCUCGCAUGCACGAGGCCCUGGGUUCGAUUCCUCAGCACCA
rfam:Dipodomys ordii contig_46469, whole genome shotgun sequence.